rnacentral:rRNA from 1 species
UACGUAGGGGGCAAGCGUUGUCCGGAAUCAUUUGGGCGUAAAGCGCGCGUAGGCGGCCCUGUAAGUCCGAUUGUGAAAGUCGAAGGCCUCAACCUUCGAAAGCCGAUGGAUACUGCAGGGCUAGGAGUCCGGAAGAGGCGAGUGGGAAAUUCCUGGUGUAGCGGUGGAAUGCGCAGAUAUCAGGAGGAACACCAAUAGCGAAGGCAGCUCGCUGGGACGGUACUGACGCUAAGGCGCGAAAGCGUGGGGAGCGAACGAGGA